CAGGUGGAACUUGAUAAAGGAUUUGCAUCCAAGGGGACACAGUGCUGGAUUUAGCCUUGGCCAGCAGUGGACUCUGAUGGGCAUCCAGUCGGUGCACCUCCUUCACAACCUUCAGUGAGGCGCUCAACGCAACUGCCAUUUGCAAAAGGUGAUACAAGACAUGAUACUGCACUGGAUGACUCGUAUCUUGUCCACUGGCUUCUGGAGAGAUGACUUGCCUCUGGCCAGCCCAUUACGCUGAGGUUAGGCUGUCAACGUUGGAUUUGGAGCAGUUUGCAGUAGCAUGAACGAGAUGCCUCAGAGAGCUGUGGGGACCUUGCAGCAACAUCUAUCAAGAAAAGGCUCCCUCUUGUGGCAAAGAAAUCUGGUUGUGUGUUCUGGAAAGAAUGGGUCCAGCUGGAGG
rnacentral:lncRNA from 1 species